rnacentral:rRNA from 1 species
UAGGGAAUCUUCGGCAAUGGACGGAAGUCUGACCGAGCAACGCCGCGUGAGUGAAGAAGGUUUUCGGAUCGUAAAGCUCUGUUGUAAGAGAAGAACGAGUGUGAGAGUGGAAAGUUCACACUGUGACGGUAUCUUACCAGAAAGGGACGGCUAACUACGUGCCAGCAGCCGCGGUAAUACGUAGGUCCCGAGCGUUGUCCGGAUUUAUUGGGCGUAAAGCGAGCGCAGGCGGUUAGAUAAGUCUGAAGUUAAAGGCUGUGGCUUAACCAUAGUACGCUUUGGAAACUGUUUAACUUGAGUGCAAGAGGGGAGAGUGGAAUUCCAUGUGUAGCGGUGAAAUGCGUAGAUAUAUGGAGGAACACCGGUGGCGAAAGCGGCUCUCUGGCUUGUAACUGACGCUGAGGCUCGAAAGCGUGGGGAGCAAACAGGAUUAGAUACCCUGGUAGUCCACGCCGUAAACAAAAAAGGGGGGUGUUAGACCCUUUCCGGGGUUUAGUGCCGUAGCUAACGCAUUAAGCACUCCGCCUGGGGAGUACGACCGCAAGGUU